GAAGAAGAAUUGUUGUAAGAGGAGGUAUCCGUUGACGGGGUAUGAAUAGCCUGGGGAUUUCGUGUAAGCCGUUCUGAAGGGAGCGGGCCGUACGUGGAGAGACGCGCGAUACUGAAAUAUAAUUUAUGACUGCCUGCAGCCUGAAAGCCACAUGGAAAAGGGAAGUAUGAACGGGGCUUAAUUGAGGCAGAUCUUGAGCCCUGAUAAGCAGAGACCUGCUGCAGUAGCACGUGAAGCUGGGUGUUUAGACCCCUCUGACUGUACACACAGAAAUGACUGACGGCAUCCCGGCUGUCUGCUCACAUAACCACCUGUGCUGCUGAAAUGACCCCAGUAAGAUAAUCGUACACAACACAGAAUAUCAAAGCAUGCAAAGGACAAGGGCAUUUUAUCUGCACUAACAGUCUUUGUACUGUUUGGUUACUAAAGAAACACAUGGCAGUAUUACAGUGAAUACUUAGAUAUUAAAUUUAUAUUAUCAAUAACCUGUUACAUGCAAAUAUUAGCAUAGCAAUUACAAAUGUUUUGAUACAAACACCCAGGGGAGUUUCCAGCUACUGAAAAGAUCAGGGACUGAGUCAAGUUACCAGGGGUUUGACUAUUUUCUCUUUUAAAGGAAGAUUGACAUUGGGGGUAAAAUACUCAGAGCUACAGCCCUGACUGAUCUGGCCUAACGACGCCCAUGAAUACAACCAUAGGAAUCCAAAAAAUAUUCAAAAUUUCCAAGACAACGUUACACAAGGCAGGUGAAUCUCUUCAAAAUUGAUAUUUUGCUAUUUCUCCUGACCAGAUCUCCAUCCUGAUCUCCAUACUGUGGCUGACAGUGUGUGAGGAGCAGGAGAGAGAUCUCUACUCAGUUCACUGUAAUGAGUGACACUCACCUGUGAGCCCAGCGAUGAGAAGAAACACGAGCAUCAGAGGAUCCAUACGUGUGUGUGUCACUGAGCCCAGACCUGUGCAGAGUGACUCUCACUUCCUCAUCCUCUGUACCUUCACUGUUUUUGUCAUUUCUAUUGUUACACACAGCAGGCAGAGUGAAGGAGGAGUGUACAUUUUAAAGAGGAAGUGAGAAAACCACAAGGCUGAAUGUUUAGCCCUUCAGAAAGUCUGACCAUUAUUAUUAGUGUGUAGAGAAUUAAAUCAACUAUCAAUGCACAGACUCAAUUCACAAAAUAAAAAAUCUGCAUGAAUAAAGAAGACCAUGAAUUUCUCUGUUUAUCAUAGUUAUUUAUUAUUAGUAUAAUUAUCUGGAUCCUAAUGCUGGAAGCACACAGUGUAAAGUGAGGUAAACCUUCAACAGCACGUCAGUCCACUGCAGGGCACUGGAAGCUGGAGAAAUGCCAUGUGAUAAUAAUAAUAAUAAUAAUCAUUGAUACUUUAUUGAUCCCCGUAGGUAAAUUGUCUUUAUGCCUUCCACAACUUGCUCUUUUUUCAUAGGGUAAGUUGUCUACUAAGGACUGCCACCCAUAGCGGCGCCCAGGGAGCUGGGGGUUAAGGGCCUCACUCAAGGACCCACAGGCUGAGGCUGGGUUUGAACCUGCAACCUUCUGAUUACAGGCACACAGGCUUAGCCCACAGAGCCACAUGCUGCCCCCAAUAACCCAGAUGGGACUCAAACCCACGAUCCGCAGCUCCGGAGGCUGAUGCCUUAUCCAUUAGGCCACUGGGUCAGUGAUAUCAGUGAUCAGAGGAAGGAUCAGAGGAAGCCUGCAAACUGCAGAGAGACACAGUCAUGGUCACAUUCAAAGCCAACACUCAGGAGUGCUGAGAUAGCAGGUGUAUCAGUCAGAUAUCUAAUAUCAUGAUGAGCUAAAAACACAGAGGGACUUUGAGGAAGCACAGCAAGACCAACAGAAGACAUGGGCUCCUGACAGUAAGGCCUCAAGAUCCAUCAUUUUACUGUUGCAGUCCAGUUGCUCUUAGCUGCAAUUGCAGCCAAAGAAAAAAAAAUGUAAAUUUUCAGCUUGCCUACUUUCCUGUGUUAGUCAUGUGACUCACAGCAAUUUUCUGCAGCUUCACAAGUAAACUGAAAUAAACUGUGAGGUAUAAAACAGUGAUGUCACAUCCUGCCUGCCAUGUCUGCCUGACCCUCCUGUCUCCUCCCUCACGUGACCAUGAUGGGCUACACCUGGUGCUUGUUGCCCCUCAUUAGUCUAUGUAUACAAGCACCUGUUUGUCUCACCAUUGCUUGUCUGGUGAUAAACAUCACUUGUCCUGUCAGUCCAUGUCCUUCUUUGUCCUAACCUUCUCAUUCUGAUCCCUGCAGUCGUGUUAAUUUGCAAUCCCUGUGUGUUUACUUUAAUUAAACCUCUUUUCUGUUUUGCCAAACACCUGCCAUGGAGUCCCGCAUGUUGUGACGGAAUGAUUGAACAAUUCAAUUCAAUUCAAUUGUGCAGUACAUUUCCCAUUACAGUAUCUCUAGGCACUUUACAUUAUCGCUGCCCAAACCCCACAGUGAGGAAGCCAGAGGUAACAGUGGUAAGGAAAAUCUCCCUAGAAGACAGAAACUUUUGAGGAACCAGACGCAGAGGGGGAGCCCAUCCUCCAGGGGGCCGGCAGAGGACAUCAAAUGAGCAAGAUAACAGACAAUCCUCUCAUCGACCCACUGAGCGAGAGCGACCUCGAGGACCCUGAGGAGUCGCCCGGCGGGUGGAUCACCCCACCCAUGUGGGGGUCAUACUGGGCUCACCUUCACUACGGAGAAGACACCCCCACAUUGACCCUCCAGAGCCCCACGUCUCCAAGGUGGGUUGGUUUGACACUCUAUCCUCUAUCCUAAGUCCCGGUGCAGUCAGCAGUAUCUCCUGGGCUGCAGUAGAGGGGCUGGCUGAGUCUCCGUCUCCAACAGAGGGAGAUGGGGGACACACUAUCUGGAUCAGUCACCCAGACUCUUGUCUAAUCGACGUUAUUCCGCCUGACGACACUCCUGCUGCGGCUGAGAGGAGAGGAGCCACGCCGUCCUCCUGCUCCUGUCCUGCAGUUCUCUCAGCACCCUGCAGCCUCACUGGCCCUCCGAGCCUCUCAGGUCCUCUCCAGAAUCAUUGUAGCUCAGAGAAUAAAAAUACAUGCAAGUGAAGCAAAUAUGUCAGAUUUAUCUCUGAACUGUUUGAUUUCCUUGUUUUUCACUCAUGCAUGUGCAGAAAGCAGCUAAAUCAUUAGCAUGAUGCAGAAAAUAUUUUUACACUUAUUCUGAAAAGCAGAAAUGUCGUCAUACAGGAUGUGAGGGUGAGACUCUGCAGAAACACUGUGCUGUAUACAGAGGGUCUGUCCUCAGGCCUUUGGUUCAGCCUUUAUUAUGUGUUAUACAGUUUUCUAUAGUGCCACUGUAGUAGGUCCUUUUAA